GUUUCCUCCAGGUUCUCCAGUUUCUCCCACCUCUUGAAAAUAUGUCACUUAAUGGUUUAGCUAAUGGUCUGACUUGUGAGACUACCGCAACUCUGACCAGGACAAAUAUGUCUCUGAAGAUGACUAAAUAAAUUAAGUAUUUCACUAUGAUUCCGAUGACCAGACUGAGAUAUAAGGAAUACUAAAACCUAAGGUUUGAGCAAUGGGCUACUCAAUAGUGGUUUUUGGAUGAAUCCCUUAGAAGAGAAACGUGUAACGAAAUAUAGUGUUCAUCAAAUUUCCAUGAUAUCAGUGUUAAGAUGUGCAUUUAAUAAAACAUGCAGUGAACAACUCUGUUCCACACGUCGUUGGCAGCCAUGAAAGCAGUGGAGCUUCCCCAUGUACUGUACUAAAUCUUAAUUUAACCCCCGAGACUUACAGACAUAGAUCUUUUAAAAUAGACUGCAUUCUGAAAGCUUAUUUUUAAGUAUGCAUAAAUAACAUUUUCGUAUGCAUACUUAAGAUUCUAGUAUGUUUUUUUGUUGUUGUUGUUAGUAUGCAUACUUAAGAUUCUAG
ensembl:lncRNA